ensembl:lncRNA
CUGACUUUGUAACUCGCAAUUGUGAGUUUAAUAUCCUGCAAUUCUGAGAAAAGAAUUGUGAGAAAAAAAGUCAGAAUUGUGAGAUGAAAAGUCGCAAUUACCUUUUUUUAUUUAGUUGCAAAAACUUUCUUCCACAGUUUUUAUUUAUGUUAAAAAAAAAAAAAAGCUAUUCAUAUUAGUUACACAUUCAACAACACUGUUCUGGUUGUUAGGAGGUUGCUAAGAUGUCCUAGGUGGUUGCUAAGAGGUUGCUAAGAUGGUCUGGCUGGUUGCUAAGAGGUUGCUAAGAUGUCCUGGCUGGUUGCUAAGAUGUUCUAGGUGGUUGCUAAGAGGUUGCUAAGAUGUUCUGGGUGGUUGCUAAGAGGUUACUAAGAUGUUCUGGCUGGUUGCUAAGAUGUCCUAGGUAGUUCCUAAGAGGUUGCUAAGAUGUUCUGGGUGGUUGCUAGGAAGUUUCUAAGAUGUUUCGGUCAGUUGAUGGCAGUUUUCCUCUUGUCUGACAUGAAAAGACCUUUGCUCUGCAUCUGUGGGAUUUUUCGAUGUGUUUUAUUCAUUCAUCCAGCAGGUAAUAACUCAUAUUUAUGCAUUAAUGGUUUUCUGAGAUCAGUUCUGCGGAUGUCACCGGUGACCUUCAUCCACUGACAUCUGACCUCCGUCUGUAAUCAGACCUUCAUCUACAGCGACUUAAACAGAGAUGAAGAUAAAGAUGCACAUUAUGCUCUUCAGUCACACGAAAGCUCUCGACCUCCAGCUCUGCCGGCGUAUAAAGGCUGUAAGUGUCCUGUUUAGCUUUAACAAUGAUUCCCACACGAGAAUGCGCUCCUGUAUAUGAGUAUGUGGGUCGCGCUCAAGGCCACGCUUAUGUAAAUGCACAGACAACACAUUAGUUAGCAGGAUUUGUUGUUCAAAGCACGGUCCAGAUAAAUCACGCUCGCGCGGUGAAGAAUCGCCGCUGUCCUUACGGUAUCGUAGCAUUCAAACGCGCGUGCUGUUAACCCAGUUACACAGAGAGAAAUACAGCUCCCAUGAUUCCGCUGGGCUAUUUUCACACUCACCUCCCAUGACUCUCCGGCUGCGGCGGCUGCGUCAGCGUUCUGUGCCGCAGCGAGACAGUGAUCAAGCGCCCGGCACUUUCUGCAAGCCAGUCACAUUCAAAGUUUGUUUGCCAGCAUGGCAAUUUUAGUAAGAUAUUCCUCUCCCCGACAAAAACCUCUCCAAAGACUUCACGGAUUUCUGGAAGUCACCUUCCUCCCAUGUUGUGCGGGAACGGCAGAUUUUUCUCUUGCUUUGCAAAUCAUAACUUCAUGUUCUAGAAAUUAACAUUGAU